UACGAAGGGGGCUAGCGUUGUUCGGAAUUACUGGGCGUAAAGGGCGCGUAGGCGGCCUUCUAAGUCGGACGUGAAAUCCCCGGGCUCAACCCGGGAACUGCGUCCGAUACUGGAAGGCUUGAAUCCGGGAGAGGGAUGUGGAAUUCCAGGUGUAGCGGUGAAAUGCGUAGAUAUCUGGAGGAACACCGGUGGCGAAGGCGACAUCCUGGACCGGUAUUGACGCUGAGGCGCGAAAGCCAGGGGAGCAAACGGG
rnacentral:rRNA from 1 species